UAAGGAAUAUUGGACAAUGGCGGAGACGCUGAUCCAGCUAUCCCGCGUGCAGGAUGACGGCCCUACGGGUUGUAAACUGCUUUAGACUGGGGCGAAAAAGUGGGAUUUAUCCUACAUUGACGGUACCAGUAAAAUAAGCACCGGCUAACUCCGUGCCAGCAGCCGCGGUAAUACGGAGGGUGCAGGCGUUAUCCGGAAUCACUGGGUAUAAAGGGUGCGUAGGCGGCUUGUUAAGUCAGGAGUGAAAGGCCAUGGCUCAACUAUGGGAUUGCUUUUGAUACUGACGAGCUUGGAUUAGGACGAGGUUGGCGGAAUGUGGCAAGUAGCGGUGAAAUGCAUAGAUAUGCCAUAGAAUACCGAUUGCGAAGGCAGCUGACUAGACCUAUAUUGACGCUGAGGCACGAAAGCGUGGGGAGCGAACAGGAUUAGAUACCCUGGUAGUCCACGCCCUAAACGAUGCUAACUCGAUGUUCGGCCGCAA
rnacentral:rRNA from 1 species